rnacentral:lncRNA from 1 species
UAGUCUUGUAUAACAUAUAAAAAAGAAGAUGUGGUAUGAUUGCCAAUGAGACAACUAUCCACAAAAGACCAAAAUGACACAAUCAUUAACAAUUAUAGGUAACCGUACGGCCUUCAAGAAUGAGCAGAGCCCAUACAACAUAGUAAGCUAUAAAAGGCCCCGAUAAAAAAAUGUAAAACAAUUCAAACAAAAAACUAAAGGCCCUAUUUAUGUAAAAAAAAAUGAACGAAAAACAAAUAUAUAACGCAUAAACAAAUGACAACCACUGAAUUACAGGCUCCUGACUUGGGACAGGCACAUACAUAAAUAAUGUAACGGGGUUAAACAUGUUAGCGGGAUUCGAACCCUUCCCUAACCUGGGACAGUGGUACAACAUAUAUACUGUAUGAUAACCAGAAUAAGGAAUGUGGUAUGAAUUCCAAUAAGACAAC